UGGGGAAUUUUGCACAAUGGGGGAAACCCUGAUGCAGCGACGCCGCGUGAUUUAGAAGGCCUUCGGGUUGUAAAAAUCUUUUCUAUGGGAAGAAAAUGACAGUACCAUAGGAAUAAGGACCGGCUAAUUACGUGCCAGCAGCCGCGGUAAUACGUAAGGUCCGAGCGUUGUCCGGAAUCAUUGGGCGUAAAGGGUACGUAGGCGGGUAAGCAAGUUAGAAGUGAAAUCCUAUAGCUCAACUAUAGUAAGCUUUUAAAACUGCUCAUCUUGAGGUAUGGAAGGGAAAGUGGAAUUCCUAGUGUAGCGGUGAAAUGCGCAGAUAUUAGAAGGAAUACCGGUGGCGAAGGCGACUUUCUGGCCAUAACCUGACGCUGAGGUACGAAAGCAUGGGUAGCAAACAGG
rnacentral:rRNA from 1 species